GGCUUUAUAGCUAGCCCGAUCGAACAACUUCAACAAACCCCUGUUAAUAACCCCUAAGUACACUAGUAUCUUAUAAACAAACCAUUUUCCCCCCUUAGUAUAGGUGAUAGAAAAG
rnacentral:rRNA from 1 species